rnacentral:rRNA from 1 species
GAUGAACGCUGGCGGCGUGCCUAAUACAUGCAAGUCGAGCGAACGGACGCGAAGCUUGCUUCUCUGAUGUUAGCGGCGGACGUGUGAGUAACACGUGGAUACCCUACCUAUAAGACUGGGAUCACUUCGGGACACCGGAGCUAAUACCGGAUGAUCUUUUGAACCGCAUGGUUCAAAGGUGAAAGACGGUCUUGCUGUCACUUCUAGAUGCAUCUGCGCUGCAUUAGCUAGUUGUUAAGGUAACGGCUUACCACGGCAACGAGGCAUAGACGACCUGAGAGGGGGAUCGGCCACACGGGAACGGAGACACGGUCCAGGCGCCUACGGGAGGGAGCAGUAGGGAAUCUGCCGCAAUGGGCGAAAGCCUGACGGAGCAACGCCGCGUGAGUGAUGAAGGUCUUCGGAUCGUAAAACUCUGUUAUGAGGGAAGAACAGAUGUGUAAGGAACUGUGCACAUCGUGACGGUACCUAAUCAGAAAGCCACGGCUAACUACGUG